GGACGGGUGAGUAAUGCCUAGGAAAUUGCCCUGAUGUGGGGGAUAACCAUUGGAAACGAUGGCUAAUACCGCAUGAUGCCUACGGGCCAAAGAGGGGGACCUUCGGGCCUCUCGCGUCAGGAUAUGCCUAGGUGGGAUUAGCUAGUUGGUGAGGUAAGGGCUCACCAAGGCGACGAUCCCUAGCUGGUCUGAGAGGAUGAUCAGCCACACUGGAACUGAGACACGGUCCAGACUCCUACGGGAGGCAGCAGUGGGGAAUAUUGCACAAUGGGCGCAAGCCUGAUGCAGCCAUGCCGCGUGUGUGAAGAAGGCCUUCGGGUUGUAAAGCACUUUCAGUCGUGAGGAAGGUAGUGUAGUUAAUAGCUGCAUUAUUUGACGUUAGCGACAGAAGAAGCACCGGCUAACUCCGUGCCAGCAGCCGCGGUAAUACGGAGGGUGCGAGCGUUAAUCGGAAUUACUGGGCGUAAAGCGCAUGCAGGUGGUUUGUUAAGUCAGAUGUGAAAGCCCGGGGCUCAACCUCGGAAUUGCAUUUGAAACUGGCAGACUAGAGUACUGUAGAGGGGGGUAGAAUUUCAGGUGUAGCGGUGAAAUGCGUAGAGAUCUGAAGGAAUACCGGUGGCGAAGGCGGCCCCCUGGACAGAUACUGACACUCAGAUGCGAAAGCGUGGGGAGCAAACAGGAUUAGAUACCCUGGUAGUCCACGCCGUAAACGAUGUCUACUUGGAGGUUGUGGCCUUGAGCCGUGGCUUUCGGAGCUAACGCGUUAAGUAGACCGCCUGGGGAGUACGGUCGCAAGAUUAAAACUCAAAUGAAUUGACGGGGGCCCGCACAAGCGGUGGAGCAUGUGGUUUAAUUCGAUGCAACGCGAAGAACCUUACCUACUCUUGACAUCCAGAGAACUUUCCAGAGAUGGAUUGGUGCCUUCGGGAACUCUGAGACAGGUGCUGCAUGGCUGUCGUCAGCUCGUGUUGUGAAAUGUUGGGUUAAGUCCCGCAACGAGCGCAACCCUUAUCCUUGUUUGCCAGCGAGUAAUGUCGGGAACUCCAGGGAGACUGCCGGUGAUAAACCGGAGGAAGGUGGGGACGACGUCAAGUCAUCAUGGCCCUUACGAGUAGGGCUACACACGUGCUACAAUGGCGCAUACAGAGGGCAGCCAACUUGCGAAAGUGAGCGAAUCCCAAAAAGUGCGUCGUAGUCCGGAUUGGAGUCUGCAACUCGACUCCAUGAAGUCGGAAUCGCUAGUAAUCGUGGAUCAGAAUGCCACGGUGAAUACGUUCCCGGGCCUUGUACACACCGCCCGUCACACCAUGGGAGUGGGCUGCAAAAGAAGUAGGUAGUUUAACCUUCGGGGGGACGCUUACCACUUUGUGGUUCAUGACUGGGGUGAAGUCGUAACAAGGUAGCGCUAGGGGAACCUGGCGCUGGAU
rnacentral:rRNA from 1 species